rnacentral:rRNA from 1 species
AUACGUAGGGAGCGAGCGUUGUCCGGAAUUACUGGGUGUAAAGGGUGCGUAGGCGGGGAUGCAAGUCAUAUGUGAAAUACCGGGGCUUAACUCCGGAGCUGCAUAAGAAACUGGAUAUCUUGAGUGCAGGAGAGGGAAGCGGAAUUCCUAGUGUAGCGGUGAAAUGCGUAGAUAUUAGGAGGAACACCAGUGGCGAAGGCGGCUUACUGGACUGAAACUGACGCUGAGGCACGAAAGCGUGGGGAGCAAACAGGAUUAGAUACCCUGGUAGUCCACGCUGUAAACGAUGGAUACUAGGUGUAGGAGGUAUCGACCCCUUCUGUGCCGCAGUCAACACAAUAAGUAUCCCACCUGGGGAGUACGACCGCAAGGUUGAAACUCAAAUGAAUUGACGGGG